GAUGAACGCUGGCGGCGUGCCUAAUACAUGCAAGUCGAGCGAACAGAUAAGGAGCUUGCUCCUUUGACGUUAGCGGCGGACGGGUGAGUAACACGUGGGUAACCUACCUAUAAGACUGGGAUAACUUCGGGAAACCGGAGCUAAUACCGGAUAACAUUUGGAACCGCAUGGUUCUAAAGUGAAAGAUGGUUUUGCUAUCACUUAUAGAUGGACCCGCGCCGUAUUAGCUAGUUGGUAAGGUAACGGCUUACCAAGGCAACGAUACGUAGCCGACCUGAGAGGGGGUUCGGCCACACUGGAACUGAGACACGGUCCAGACUCCUACGGGAGGCAGCAGUAGGGAAUCGUCCGCAAUGGGCGAAAGCCUGACGGAGCAACGGCGCGUGAGUGAUGAAGGGUUGCGGCUCGUAAAACUCUGUUAUUAGGGAAGAACAAAUGUGUAAGUAACUGUGCACGUCUUGACGGUACCUAAACAGAAAGCCACGGCUAACUACGU
rnacentral:rRNA from 1 species